rnacentral:rRNA from 1 species
UACGUAGGUGGCGAGCGUUGUCCGGAAUUACUGGGUGUAAAGCGCGUGUAGGCGGCAGGCCAAGUCGGUGGUGAAAGCGCCCGGCUCAACUGGGCGAGGUCCAUGGAAACUGGUCAGCUGGAGGACGGUAGAGGCGAGUGGAAUUCCCGGUGUAGUGGUGAAAUGCAUAGAGAUCGGGAGGAACACCUGUGGCGAAGGCGGCUCGCUGGGCCGGUCCUGACGCUGAAACGCGAAGGCGUGGGGAGCGAACAGG